AACGCGAAGAACCUUACCCAGGCUCGAAAUGUAGGGGACAGCGCCGGAAACGGCGUCUUCCGCAAGGACCGCUAUAUAGGUGCUGCAUGGCUGUCGUCAGCUCGUGCCGUGAGGUGUUGGGUUAAGUCCCGCAACGAGCGCAACCCUUAUUGUUAGUUGCCAACGAUUCGGUCGGGAACUCUAACAAGACUGCCUGGGUUAACCAGGAGGAAGGUGAGGAUGACGUCAAGUCCGCAUGGCCUUUAUGUCUGGGGCUACACACGUGCUACAAUGGCAGGUACAGAAGGAAGCGAAGCCGCAAGGUCGAGCAAAUCCUAAAAAGCCUGUCUCAGUUCGGAUUGCAGUCUGCAACUCGGCUGCAUGAAGUUGGAAUUGCUAGUAAUGGCGGGUCAGCAACACCGCCGUGAAUACGUUCCCGGGCCUUGUA
rnacentral:rRNA from 1 species